rnacentral:rRNA from 1 species
UACGUAGGGUGCAAGUGUUAAUCGGAAUUACUGGGCGUAAAGCGUGCGCAGGCGGUUGUGCAAGACAGAUGUGAAAUCCCCGGGCUUAACCUGGGAACUGCAUUUGUGACUGCACGGCUAGAGUGUGUCAGAGGGGGGUAGAAUUCCACGUGUAGCAGUGAAAUGCGUAGAUAUGUGGAGGAAUACCGAUGGCGAAGGCAGCCCCCUGGGAUAACACUGACGCUCAUGCACGAAAGCGUGGGGAGCAAACAGG